AUUGAACGCUGGCGGCAGGCUUAACACAUGCAAGUCGAACGAGUGGCGGACGGGUGAGUAAUGUUUGGGAAUCUAGCCUAUGGAGGGGGAUAACUACGGGAAACUGUAGCUAAUACCGCGUACCAUAGGAGGAGCCCAAGUGGGAUUAGUUAGUUGGUGAGGUAAAGGCUCACCAAGCCGACGAUCCGUAGCUGGUCUGAGAGGAUGACCAGCCACACUGGGACUGAGACACGGCCCAGACUCCUACGGGAGGCAGCAGUGGGGAAUUUUGCGCAAUGGGGGCAACCUGAUGCAGCCAUGCCGCGUGAAUGAAGAAGGCCUUCGGGUUGUAAAGUACUUUCGGUAGCGAGGCGUUACCUGCAGAAGAAGCACCGGCUAACUACGUGCCAGCAGCCGCGGUAAUAC
rnacentral:rRNA from 1 species